CUAGAGUAUUAAUAGUUAUAUUCUUUAAACUUAAAAAAUUUGGCGGUAUUUUAGUCUAUUCAGAGGAACCUGUUUUGUAAUCGAUAAUCCACGUUGGACCUUACUUAAUUUUAUUGAUUAGUUUGUAUACCGUCGUUAUAGAAAAUUUUAUAAGAAUAAUAAUUUUCAAUAAAUUUAAUAAAAUUAUAUAUCAGAUCAAGGUGCAGCAUAUAAUUAAGUUAAUAAUGGGUUACAAUAAAAUUAUUUAUAUGGAAAUAAAUAUGAAAAAUUUAUUAAAAGUGGAUUUGAAAGUAAAAUUAUAAAGAUUAUUAAUUUGAUUUUAGCUCUAAAAUAUGUACAUAUCGCCCGUCACUCUUAUUUAUUAAGAUAAGAUAAGUCGUAA
rnacentral:rRNA from 1 species